UACGUAGGGUGCAGGCGUUUAAUCGGAAUUACUGGGCGUAAAGCGUGCGCAGGCGGUUUGCUAAGACAGGUGUGAAAUCCCCGGGCUUAACCUGGGAACUGCGCUUGUAACUGGCAAGCUGGGAGUGUGGCAGAGGGGGGUGGAAUUCCGACGUGUAGCAGUGAAAUGCGUAGAGAUGUGGAGGAACACCGAUGGCGAAGGCAGCCCCCUGGGCUAACACUGACGCUCGAUGCACGAAAGCGUGGGGAGCAAACAGG
rnacentral:rRNA from 1 species